UCGAGCGGAUGAGAAGAGCUUGCUCUUCGAUUCAGCGGCGGACGGGUGAGUAAUGCCUAGGAAUCUGCCUGGUAGUGGGGGACAACGUUUCGAAAGGAACGCUAAUACCGCAUACGUCCUACGGGAGAAAGCAGGGGACCUUCGGGCCUUGCGCUAUCAGAUGAGCCUAGGUCGGAUUAGCUAGUUGGUGAGGUAAUGGCUCACCAAGGCGACGAUCCGUAACUGGUCUGAGAGGAUGAUCAGUCACACUGGAACUGAGACACGGUCCAGACUCCUACGGGAGGCAGCAGUGGGGAAUAUUGGACAAUGGGCGAAAGCCUGAUCCAGCCAUGCCGCGUGUGUGAAGAAGGUCUUCGGAUUGUAAAGCACUUUAAGUUGGGAGGAAGGGCAGUAAGCGAAUACCUUGCUGUUUUGACGUUACCGACAGAAUAAGCACCGGCUAACUCUGUGCCAGCAGCCGCGGUAAUACAGAGGGUGCAAGCGUUAAUCGGAAUUACUGGGCGUAAAGCGCGCGUAGGUGGUUUGUUAAGUUGGAUGUGAAAUCCCCGGGCUCAACCUGGGAACUGCAUCCAAAACUGGCAAGCUAGAGUAGGGCAGAGGGUGGUGGAAUUUCCUGUGUAGCGGUG
rnacentral:rRNA from 1 species